AGAAAAAGCAGAAAUGAAACAUCUUAAAGAAGAAAAAGUCUCAACAAGAAAAGAAAGUCUUCAAUCACACAAUGUGACAAAAGCAGAAAAACCUGCAAAAGUAUCAAGUAAGUACUGCCUGUAUUGAUGAUAAAUUCUCUUUGGCACACAGUAUAAAUUUCCAGCUGAAACUCAUAAAAUAUUUAUAUUUUUAAUGUGUUCAGAGACUGAGUCAUUUCAUACUAGACCCUCUGACAGAAAUUUAACUUUUAAACUUAGUUAUGUUGAAACUUAAAAAACUAUGUUAUUUGAAAUGAUAACUUGUAACAGAAAUAAUGAUCAUGUUCUCAAGCCUGAAGAUUAAAGUGACUUGCAUUCAAAUACAUGAAUUUUUUUCAGUGAUUGAAGCAGAAUGAAAUAAAAUAAUCCUGUUUCUGCCUUAAACCUUCAAUCACUAAAGAUUUGCUGUAGAGUACAUAUGGUUGAGCAAUAAUGUUUUAUUUACUGAUUUUUCUAAUGGUCGUUAACUUAAAUAUAAUAGUAUAUCUGAGAAGAAUAACGUAGCUAAGAAUGGACCUAAGCUUAUAUGUCAUAAACAGACAAAGUCCUCAGUGUCAAUUUCUAGGUACUCAUAGGCAUUCUAAAUUUAUAAGAUACAACUUUAAAUUUUCCUAUAAAUUUUAAAACUUCUGAGAAAUAGGAAUUUUCCCUCCCAUUUUCCGGGUUUAAAAAAAAAAAUUUCUUGGGGCGCCUGGGUGGCUUAGUCGGUUAAGCGUCCGACUUUCGCUUAGGUCAUGA